CCUACGGAGAGCAGCAGUGGGGAAUAUUGGACAAUGGGCGAAAGCCUGAUCCAGCCAUGCCGCGUGUGUGAAGAAGGCCUUCAGGUUGUAAAGCACUUUCAGUGGGGAAGAAAGCCUUGGGGCUAAUACCCUCGAGGAAGGACAUCACCCACAGAAGAAGCACCGGCUAACUCCGUGCCAGCAGCCGCGGUAAUACGGAGGGUGCGAGCGUUAAUCGGAAUUACUGGGCGUAAAGCGCGCGUAGGCGGUCUGAUAAGCCGGUUGUGAAAGCCCCGGGCUCAACCUGGGAACGGCAUCCGGAACUGUCAGGCUAGAGGGCAGGAGAGGAAGGUAGAAUUCCCGGUGUAGCGGUGAAAUGCGUAGAGAUCGGGAGGAAUACCAGUGGCGAAGGCGGCCUUCUGGACUGACACUGACGCUGAGGUGCGAAAGCGUGGGUAGCAAACAGGAUUACAUACCCGAGUAGUC
rnacentral:rRNA from 1 species